UUCACAAAGAUGCACCUUUACAGCAGGAAACCCCUGAGCAGCAAACUACUGAAUGAAAAACUAUUAUAGAAGGAACCAUGCUGGAAGAUGCUAUAACAAGGAGUUAGUGGUCCUGAGGUACUGUGGAGGAUGUACAGGUGGUCCUAUCUGAUAUUCUGACAUGUGACCUGUCCUUUGCAGACAUUUCACAUUCUUUAGAUAACAAGUUAGUGGUGGCAUUACCAGGAAAGAAGACCCUUAGGUGAGAGAGAUGUGGUUUAUGGGGAGGAAAAAAGGAUACAAAAGCAUGGCAGGAGGCAAGGUGUGCUGAACCUCUCCACAGAUCCAAACUUUACAGCAUGCCAUUAACACCAUGAAGUGGACUGUCCGAUGCUGGCACACCUCAGCCAUCCUGGUAUCUGAAGGGACCUAGGGCUCAGUUUCUAUUCAGCAAAUAGCAUUUAACUACCUACAUGUUUGAGAUAUCUUUCUUACCGAGAUCCAGGAAGAUCCAGCACAAAAAAGCAAAAAAAAAAAAUGUCUUUAUGAACAGAAAAUUUUGUAGUAGCAAAUAUCUUUUCUUAAGUCAGCAACACAGAAUUCACAGAAAAAUUGCAUUGUUCUCACAGCCUUCCUCCAAAGCUAACUCUACAAUUUGCAUGUGUAU